rnacentral:rRNA from 1 species
GAUGAACGCUGGCGGCGUGCCUAACACAUUCAAGUCGAACGGUGACGGGGGCUUCGGUCCCUGAUCAGUGGCGGACGGGUGAGUAACGCGUGGAUAACCUGCCAUAUACAGGGGGAUAACACUUAGAAAUAGGUGCUAAUACCGCAUAAGCGCACAGUUUCGCAUGAAGCAGUGUGAAAAACUCCGGUGGUAUGAGAUGGACCCGCGUCUGAUUAGCUAGUUGGUGGGGUAACGGCCUACCAAGGCGACGAUCAGUAGCCAGCCUGAGAGGGUGAACGGCCACAUUGGGACUGAGACACGGCCCAAACUCCUACGGGAGGCAGCAGUGGGGAAUAUUGCACAAUGGGGGAAACCCUGAUGCAGCGACGCCGCGUGAGUGAUGAAGUAUUUCGGUAUGUAAAGCUCUAUCAGCAGGGAAGAAAAUGACGGUACCUGACUAAGAAGCACCGGCUAAAUACGUG